rnacentral:rRNA from 1 species
UGCGUAGGCGGGCUAAUAAGUCAGUGGUGAAAUCUCUCGGCUCAACCGGGAAGCUGCCAUUGAUACUGUUAGUCUUGAGUUCGGUUGAGGUAGGCGGAAUGUGUAAUGUAGCGGUGAAAUGCUUAGAUAUUACACAGAACACCAAUUGCGUAGGCAGCUUACUAGACCGACACUGACGCUGAGGCACGAAAGCGUGGGGAGCGAACAGGAUUAGAUACCCUGGUAGUCC